AUUGAAAGCUGGCGGCAUGCCUAACACAUGCAAGUCGAACGGCAGCACAGCAGUAGCAAUACUGUGGGUGGCGAGUGGCGGACGGGUGAGGAAUAAAUAGGAAUCUGCCCUGUUGUGGGGGAUAACGUAGGGAAACUUACGCUAAUACCGCAUACGACGGCGACGUGAAAGUGGGGGACAGCAAGGACUCACGCGAUAGGAUGAGCCUAUGUCCGAUUAGCUAGUUGGCGGCGUAAGGGCCCACCAAGGCGACGAUCCGUAGCUGGUCUGAGGGAAGAAUCGACCACACAGGAACUGAGACAACGUCCAGACGCCUACGGGAGGCAUCAUUGGGGAAUAUUGGACAAUGGGGGCAACCCUGAUCCAGCAAUGCCGAGUGGGUGAAUAAGGCCUUCGGGUUGUAAAGCCCUUGUGUACUGGAAGAAAAGCUUCGGAUUAAUACUUCGAGGUCAUGACGGUACCGUAAGAAUAAGCACCGGCUAACUUCGUGCCAGCCGCCGCGGUAAAAC
rnacentral:rRNA from 1 species